GACGAACGCUGGCGGCGUGCCUAAUACAUGCAAGUAGAACGCUGAAGAGAGGAGCUUGCUCUUCUUGGAUGAGUUGCGAACGGGUGAGUAACGCGUAGGUAACCUGCCUUGUAGCGGGGGAUAACUAUUGGAAACGAUAGCUAAUACCGCAUAACAAUGGAUGACACAUGUCAUUUAUUUGAAAGGGGCAAUUGCUCCACUACAAGAUGGACCUGCGUUGUAUUAGCUAGUAGGUGAGGUAACGGCUCACCUAGGCGACGAUACAUAGCCGACCUGAGAGGGUGAUCGGCCACACUGGGACUGAGACACGGCCCAGACUCCUACGGGAGGCAGCAGUAGGGAAUCUUCGGCAAUGGGGGCAACCCUGACCGAGCAACGCCGCGUGAGUGAAGAAGGUUUUCGGAUCGUAAAGCUCUGUUGUAAGUCAAGAACGAGUGUGAGAGUGGAAAGUUCACACUGUGACGGUAGCUUACCAGAAAGGGACGGCUAACUACGUGCCAGCAGCCGCGGUAAUACGUAGGUCCCGAGCGUUGUCCGGAUUUAUUGGGCGUAAAGCGAGCGCAGGCGGUUUGAUAAGUCUGAAGUUAAAGGCUGUGGCUCAACCAUAGUUCGCUUUGGAAACUGUCAAACUUGAGUGCAGAAGGGGAGAGUGGAAUUCCAUGUGUAGCGGUGAAAUGCGUAGAUAUAUGGAGGAACACCGGUGGCGAAAGCGGCUCUCUGGUCUGUAACUGACGCUGAGGCUCGAAAGCGUGGGGAGCGAACAGGAUUAGAUACCCUGGUAGUCCACGCCGUAAACGAUGAGUGCUAGGUGUUGGAUCCUUUCCGGGAUUCAGUGCCGCAGCUAACGCAUUAAGCACUCCGCCUGGGGAGUACGACCGCAAGGUUGAAACUCAAAGGAAUUGACGGGGGCCCGCACAAGCGGUGGAGCAUGUGGUUUAAUUCGAAGCAACGCGAAGAACCUUACCAGGUCUUGACAUCCCGAUGCUAUUUCUAGAGAUAGAAAGUUACUUCGGUACAUCGGUGACAGGUGGUGCAUGGUUGUCGUCAGCUCGUGUCGUGAGAUGUUGGGUUAAGUCCCGCAACGAGCGCAACCCCUAUUGUUAGUUGCCAUCAUUCAGUUGGGCACUCUAGCGAGACUGCCGGUAAUAAACCGGAGGAAGGUGGGGAUGACGUCAAAUCAUCAUGCCCCUUAUGACCUGGGCUACACACGUGCUACAAUGGUUGGUACAACGAGUUGCGAGUCGGUGACGGCAAGCUAAUCUCUUAAAGCCAAUCUCAGUUCGGAUUGUAGGCUGCAACUCGCCUACAUGAAGUCGGAAUCGCUAGUAAUCGCGGAUCAGCACGCCGCGGCGAAUACGUUCCCGGGCCU
rnacentral:rRNA from 1 species